UACAGAGGGGGCGAGCGUUAUUCGGAAUUAUUGGGCGUAAAGGGCGCGUAGGCGGCCUUUCAAGUGACGGGUGAAAUCCCUCGGCUUAACCGAGGAACUGCCUGUCAGACUGGAAGGCUUGAGACCGGGAGAGGUGAGUGGAAUUCCCAGUGUAGCGGUGAAAUGCGUAGAUAUUGGGAGGAACACCUGAGGCGAAGGCGGGUUGCUGGGCCGACACUGACGCUGAGUGCGCGAAAGCGUGGGGAGCGAACAGG
rnacentral:rRNA from 1 species